GGGGUUGUAGCUUUGUGGUAGAGCACUUGCCUCGCAUGCGUGAGGCACUGGGUUCGAUCCUCAGCACCA
rnacentral:tRNA from 1 species